GACGAACGCUGGCGGCGUGCCUAAUACAUGCAAGUAGAACGCUGAAGAGAGGAGCUUGCUCUUCUUGGAUGAGUUGCGAACGGGUGAGUAACGCGUAGGUAACCUGCCUUGUAGCGGGGGAUAACUAUUGGAAACGAUAGCUAAUACCGCAUAACAAUGGAUGACCCAUGUCAUUUAUUUGAAAGGGGCAAAUGCUCCACUACAAGAUGGACCUGCGUUGUAUUAGCUAGUAGGUGAGGUAACGGCUCACCUAGGCGACGAUACAUAGCCGACCUGAGAGGGUGAUCGGCCAUACUGGGACUGAGACACGGCCCAGACUCCUACGGGAGGCAGCAGUAGGGAAUCUUCGGCAAUGGGGGCAACCCUGACCGAGAAACGCCGCGUGAGUGAAGAAGGGUUUCGGAUCGUAAAGCUCUGUUGUAAGUCAAGAACGAGUGUGAGAGUGGAAAGUUCACACUGUGACGGUAGCUUACCAGAAAGGGACGGCUAACUACGUG
rnacentral:rRNA from 1 species